GAGCACGUAGGUGGGUUUGUAAGUCAGAUGUGAAAGCCUUCUGUUCAACGGAAGAAUUGCAUCUGAAACUGCGAGUCUUGAGUGUAGGAGGGGAGAAUGGAACUUCUGGUGGAGCGGUGAAAUGCGUAGAUAUCAGAAGGAACGCCGGCGGCGAAGCGAUUCUCUGGCCUAUUACUGACACUCAGUGUGCGAAAGCUAGGGGAGCAAACGGGAUUAGAUACCCCGGUAGUCCUAGCCGUAAACGAUGGGCACUAAGUAGAGGGGUUUU
rnacentral:rRNA from 1 species